GAUGAACGCUAGCGGCACGCUUCAUACAUGCAAGUCGAGGGGCAGCAUAAAGUACUUGUACUUUGAUGGCGACCGGCGAACGGGUGCGUAACGCGUAUGCAACUUACCUUUUACUAGAGAAUAGCCAAGAGAAAUUUUGAUUAAUGCUCUAUACUCUUUUUAACUCACAUGAGUUUUUAAGAAAAGCUCCGGCGGUAAAAGAUGGGCAUGCGUCCUAUUAGCUUGUAGGUGAGGUAACGGCUCACCUAAGCUCCGAUAGGUAGGGGUCCUGAGAGGGAGAUCCCCCACACUGGUACUGAGACACGGACCAGACUUCUACGGAAGGCAGCAGUAAGGAAUAUUGGACAAUGGAGGAAACUCUGAUCCAGCGAUGCCGCGUGAAGGAAGACGGCCCUAUGGGUUGUAAACUUCUUUUAUACAGGAAGAAACCUUUCCACGUGUGGAAAGCUGACGGUACUGUAAGAAUAAGGAUCGGCUAACUCCGUGCCAGCAGCCGCGGUAAUACGGAGGAUCCAAGCGUUAUCCGGAAUCAUUGGGUUUAAAGGGUCCGUAGGUGGAUAAUUAAGUCAGAGGUGAAAGUUUGCGGCUCAACCGUAAAAUUGCCUUUGAUACUGGUUAUCUUGAGUUAUUGUGAAGUAGUUAGAAUAUGUAGUGUAGCGGUGAAAUGCAUAGAUAUUACAUAGAAUACCAAUUGCGAAGGCAGAUUACUAACAAUAUACUGACACUGAUGGACGAAAGCGUGGGUAGCGAACAGGAUUAGAUACCCUGGUAGUCCACGCCGUAAACGAUGGAUACUAGCUGUUGGGCUUCGGCUCAGUGGCUAAGCGAAAGUGAUAAGUAUCCCACCUGGGGAGUACGUUCGCAAGAAUGAAACUCAAAGGAAUUGACGGGGGCCCGCACAAGCGGUGGAGCAUGUGGUUUAAUUCGAUGAUACGCGAGGAACCUUACCAGGGCU
rnacentral:rRNA from 1 species